UGUAUAUCGCUGUCUGACAUCUUUGAUCGUGUUUGGCGCAGGUGACUACUGUGUAGUGUGUGUAUAUGUUCUUAGUUGUGAUGUUUAUAUGUGAUUUGGCAUAAUAUUUAUUAUUUUGUAAACAUGCCACCAAAUAUAAACACAUACAUUCAGUUAAGGGAAUUUAUAAAAUCGAAGUCGAACUAUGUUAGUCCACCAGAACUCAAUAAUUUUGUAUUAGAAUACGCGCAGAUAAUAAACUCAAAAAGACGUUGUAGCUCGAUAAAAAAUUUGGAAGAACUGAUUUGUUUGUUAGAAAAACGAGAUUAUAUAAGCCCGGACAACAUGAAACCUCUGCAGUAUAUUAGGGACAGAAUCCGCGAUCCACAACGCUUGCAUUCGUUCAGUGAUAAUGGAGAUUCAAUAUCAAAUGGAAUCGACGACGAUUUUUAUGGAAGACGGAUGUCGAACAGUACUGAGAGUCAGAAUGGCGUCUUCAGAACGCGAUCUCUUCCGCCUAGAGUGUUGGAGUUAGUGAGUGAAGAAAUUGGAAGAAAGUGGAAAGAUCUAGCCCGCCAGUUGGGCCUGAGAGAAGGCAAAAUGAACGAGAUUGAAGCAAGAUACCCUAAUAAUCUUAAGGAUAGGGUGUAUGCCUGUUUGGCCACAUUCCAAGAAAAUUGUCCUGAUGGCAUGGAGAAAAAAUUUCUGGAAGCAUUAGAGAAAGCCCGCAGAAAAGAUCUAAGGGACCAGGUUGAGGCAAUACUGAGGCCGUACUGAGGUUACAAAUGUUGUUCAGUGUAAUGACCAUCUGCAUCCAUGACAGCCUGAAACCACACUAGAGACUGCUCUACUGCUGCCCGAAAUAUCUCGGGUGUGAUGUUGGCUACCUCUCUCAUUAUGCUUAUCUUCAAUCUUUUAAUGUACAUCUACAUCUACAUUGCUACUCUGGAAGCCACCAUAAGAUAAAUCAUAGCCUACAGUAUGGGUCUCCAUCAGAUCAGCGAUCUGCUUAUUUAAAAAUAUUCCAAGGUGAAGAAAUGUUGUGACAUUCAUAGGCUUCAUUUCUUGAGUCCAUGAAUGUGAUAAUAUUGUGAUAUGAGUGCCUAAGCUAAAUUGUAUGUUGUAAAUGAAAUCUUAUUUUUGUAAAUGAAGUGAAUAAUUAAUCUGAAGUAAAUUUAAUAUUGUGGUACAUUUCAGAAUCAAUACAGAGUUCUCUUGCAUUUUGAUUAAAGGUUAAGACUAUGUAUGUCA